CCUACGGUAGGCAGCAGUGAGGAAUAUUGGUCAAUGGGCUUAAGCCUGAACCAGCCAAGUCGCGUGAGGGAAGACUGUCCUAUGGGUUGUAAACCUCUUUUGUCGGGGAGCAAGGCCGGCUACGUGUGGCCGGACUGAGAGUAACCGAAGAAAAAGCAUCGGCUAACUACGUGCCAGCAGCCGCGGUAAUACGGGGGAUGCGAGCGUUAUCCGGAGUUAUUGGGUUUAAAGGGUGCGCAGGCGGCCGGUUAAGUCAGCGGUAAAAGCUCGGGGCUCAACCCCGGCGAGCCGUUGAAACUGGCGGGCUGGAGUUGGCGAGAAGUAUGCGGAAUGCGCGGUGUAGCGGUGAAAUGCAUAGAGAUCGCGCAGAACCCCGAUUGCGAAGGCAGCGGACCGGCUCUACACUGACGCUGAGGCACGAAAGCGUGGGUAUCGAACAGGAUUAGAUACCCUUGUAGUC
rnacentral:rRNA from 1 species